AACCUCCGCAAUGUGAGAAAUCGCGACGGGGGGAUCCCAAGUGCCAUUCUUAACGGGAUGGCUUUUCAUUAGUGUAAAGAGCUUUUGGAAUAAGGGCUGGGCAAGACCGGUGCCAGCCGCCGCGGUAACACCGGCAGCUCUAGUGGUAGCAGUUUUUAUUGGGCCUAAAGCGUCCGUAGCCGGUUUAAUAAGUCUCUGGUGAAAUCCUGUAGCUUAACUGUGGGAAUUGCUGGAGAUACUAUUAGACUUGAGACCGGGAGAGGUUAGAGGUACUCCCAGGGUAGAGGUGAAAUUCUGUAAUCCUGGGAGGACCGCCUGUUGCGAAGGCGUCUAACUGGAACGGUUCUGACGGUGAGGGACGAAAGUUAGGGGCGCGAACCGGAUUAGAUACCCGGGUAGUCCUAACUGUAACGAUGCGGACUUGGUGUUGGGGUGGCUUUGAGCUGCUCCAGUGCCGAAGGGAAGCUGUUAAGUCCGCCGCCUGGGAAGUACGGUCGCAAGACUGAAACUUAAAGGAAUU
rnacentral:rRNA from 1 species